rnacentral:rRNA from 1 species
CCUACGGGAGGCAGCAGUGGGGAAUUUUGGACAAUGGGCGCAAGCCUGAUCCAGCCAUGCCGCGUGUGGGAAGAAGGCCUUCGGGUUGUAAACCACUUUUGUCAGGGAAGAAAACGGUCUGAACUAAUACUUUGGACUAAUGACGGUACCUGAAGAAUAAGCACCGGCUAACUACGUGCCAGCAGCCGCGGUAAUACGUAGGGUGCAAGCGUUAAUCGGAAUUACUGGGCGUAAAGCGUGCGCAGGCGGCUUUGCAAGACAGAUGUGAAAUCCCCGGGCUCAACCUGGGAACUGCAUUUGUGACUGCAUGGCUAGAGUACGGUAGAGGGGGAUGGAAUUCCGCGUGUAGCAGUGAAAUGCGUAGAUAUGCGGAGGAACACCGAUGGCGAAGGCAAUCCCCUGGACCUGUACUGACGCUCAUGCACGAAAGCGUGGGGAGCAAACAGGAUUAGAUACCCUGGUAAGUCCACGCCCUAAACGAUGUCAACUGGUUGUUGGGAGGGUUUCUUCUCAGUAACGAAGCUAACGCGUGAGUAGUACCGCCGUCGGGAGGUACGGCCGGCCGACGGUUAGUAACGUACGAAAGAAAGUUAGUACGGCGUGAGACGUAGCCGAACGGACGACCGAACCGAGGGAGGAGGGAG